rnacentral:rRNA from 2 species
AUAGGAGACAAGAAGGCAUCUUCUUGUUUUUAAAAGACCUAGCAAUAGGUAUGCUUAGGGAGGAGCUUGCGUCACAUUAGUUAGUUGGUGGGGUAAAGGCCUACCAAGACUAUGAUGUGUAGCCGGGCUGAGAGGUGAACGGCCACAUUGGGACUGAGACACGGCCCAAACUCCUACGGGAGGCAGCAGUAGGGAAUUUUCGGCAAUGGAGGAAACUCUGACCGAGCAACGCCGCGUGAACGAUGAAGUAUUUCGGUACGUAAAGUUCUUUUAUUAGGGAAGAAUAAAUGAUGGAAAAAUCAUUCUGACGGUACCUAAUGAAUAAGCCCCGGCUAACUAUGUGCCAGCAGCCGCGGUAAUACAUAGGGGGCAAGCGUUAUCCGGAAUUAUUGGGCGUAAAGGGUGCGUAGGCGGUUAAAUAAGUUUAUGGUCUAAGUGCAAUGCUCAACAUUGUGAUGCUAUAAAAACUGUUUAGCUAGAGUAAGAUAGAGGCAAGUGGAAUUCCAUGUGUAGUGGUAAAAUGCGUAAAUAUAUGGAGGAACACCAGUAGCGAAGGCGGCUUGCUGGGUCUUUACUGACGCUGAGGCACGAAAGCGUGGGGAGCAAACAGGAUUAGAUACCCUGGUAGUCCACGCCGUAAACGAUGAGUACUAAACGUUGGGUAAAACCAGUGUUGAAGUUAACACAUUAAGUACUCCGCCUGAGUAGUACGUACGCAAGUAUGAAACUUAAAGGAAUUGACGGGACUCCGCACAAGCGGUGGAUCAUGUUGUUUAAUUCGAAGGUACCCGAAAAACCUCACCAGGUCUUGACAUGCUUCUGCAAAGCUGUAGAAACACAGUGGAGGUUAUCAGUUGCACAGGUGGUGCAUGGUUGUCGUCAGCUCGUGUCGUGAGAUGUUGGGUUAAGUCCCGCAACGAGCGCAACCCUUAUUGUUAGUUACCAGCACGUAAUGGUGGGGACUUUAGCAAGACUGCCAGUGAUAAAUUGGAGGAAGGUGGGGACGACGUCAAAUCAUCAUGCCCCUUAUGACCUGGGCUACAAACGUGAUACAAUGGCUGUUACAAAGGGUAGCUGAAGCGCAAGUUUUUGGCGAAUCUCAAAAAAACAGUCUCAGUUCGGAUUGAAGUCUGCAACUCGACUUCAUGAAGUUGGAAUCGCUAGUAAUCGCGAAUCAGCAUGUCGCGGUGAAUACGUUCU